rnacentral:sRNA from 1 species
UCACAUGUGGUCGCGAUCCUCAGUAAU